UGUCUUUAUAAAUCGCAUUAAUAUCCUACACCGUAUAUAUACAACAUAUAUAACAUUUUAUAUUAAUAUUUUAAGGCAUUAUAUGUUUAACAGUGUCACUUUGUCUGUUCUGCUUUUAUUUUGAAAAAGCGCUGUUUUCUUCUUCGGAUGGUUUUUUUUUUUGUGACGCUAAACUUCCGCUAUUCUCUCGUCACAAUGUGGUGUUCGCAUAUCGUCGGAAGAACGAGCUCCGAACUGUGAGGGUGUGUCAAGCUAGAGCACAUGGUAGCUGAUGGCAGAAACUCUUUGAUUAGCGCCCUUGGAAAAGCGGAAUGAGGUAUGAAGGAAAAUAUGUGGAGUUUGUAUUAUUAUCAAAAGGGAUAUUGUUUAAGGAAAAGAGAAUGUCAGUACUUCAUUUGUUUAUGGGUUUAUUGCACAUGUCAUCAAUAUAAAAACGUUUAUUCUUUCUUUAAACAAUUAUAAUAUAUUCUGUUUAAUUUAAAAGAAGCAUGUGAUAUUUCAUUUGUCAUAAAGGCUUAAACAUAUUUCAUAUUGUUCAUUUGUUAAAAUAAUUUGUAUUGGGUGUAAACAUGAUUAAUAUGUGAAGAUGAUUUAUGUGCAAAUUAUUUGUGAAACUACAUGGAAGCAUUUUGUAUUUCUGUUUAUUCUGUAGUUUUCACGGUGUCCAGGUGCAUGGUGCUCAUUGAGAGGAAGAAAUAAAUUGACACCCGUUUGAAACUCUCUGCGUCUUGAUCAAUGUAUAUCCGAGGGGCCGCUACAGUGAAAACUCAUCGCUGCACCAGCCCUGCCAUCUUUGGUGAGAAGUUGACGCCAUCACAUCUGAGGUCCAAACACCAACCUAAUACCAGCCAGUUUACUUCGCUUGCAUCCAACUCCUUCACACAGGCAAGACUUAAAAUGGACAGCAUACUUAAGGUACAGCUAGAGCUGCAAAAAGAGACACUGGAUGCCAAGGAGCAAGAAAGCUGAAAAGGGACAAUUUCUACACACAUGCUUGCAGCAUAACUGAAUGACUUAAUAAUAAUACGCUAUUAUAAGGUCAAAAUAUCUUGCAAACUAAUUCUCCGUUCUUAAAGCUUCUAAAACUGGUGAAAGAAACUAGCCCAUGCUCUUCGGUCAUAUCUGUUUAUGAAAAGGUUAAAAGGAGUAUUUUGUUGUUACUGUUUUAAGCUAAAAAUCCUUUUAGAUGUCCAUUAUUUGUUAAUGCGUAGCAUAAACAUUACUCUGUAGUAAAGGAUAACUACAGCUUACAAGUGUAAAUUCAGGUGGACAAUCAAAGGCUACACUCGACUUAAAGCAGCAGCACAAACAAACAAGAUGUCACUUAAAGAUACACCUUGCAGGUCCAGCUCACGAGAAAGAAAGCUAACAGAGAAAGGCCAAGAGAUGCAUGAACAAGACACCAGAAAACGUGAGAAAGCAUUUAACAAGUCCUAUGACACUUGGAAGCUGGUAGCUAGGGAGACUAGGACAAAAUUAAAAACCCUCUGUUCAUCAGAAGACCUUAUUAAAUUACAGCAAGACAUUCAAGCAAAGCAUGAUGGUGUAGCCCAGCAGUAUGAACCUAUACUUCGUAACAGUAACACCACACCAGAGAUUGUAAAGAAGAUGGAUGCCUGUGUUACGCUAACAAAAGACAUUCUUGACCUUAUUAGUAACCGUCUAGAGACUGUUAAUCAAGAAUAUAAUGAUCAACUUGAGAAGGAAAGGGUAAGAGAAAUCUUAAACAAAGAUGAAUAUGGGUCUGUCUUUGGCCACACUAAAACUGAAACGGUAAGCUCAGCAAAGUCACCGGAGAGAUUGAGCAACCACUCCAGCUCAGCCAGUACUCACAGCAGUAGAGUAGAUGCACAAGCAGAGUUUGCGGCUAAGCUGGAACAAUCAAAAGCCAUAAAAGAAAUCCAAGCUCAGCAAGCACAUCUUCACAAGUUAGAAGGUGAAUGGAAACUUAGAGAAGCAAAAAUGUUAGUAGAAAUGAAGCAAAAAGAGUGGGAAAUGCAACAACAGUUGGAACAAGAGAGAUCCAAAUUGCAGCAGUUACAAGCAGCAAAAGACGUUGCCAUAGCAGCAGCUCGUGUGAGAGCAUAUGACAAUUUUGAAGGGUUUGAGAACCAUGAUGAGGAGAUUAAUGACCAAACUAACUCUGCUUGCUACAGAAAUCAAAAUGAACCUCGAUUAAAUCCUGAUGCUGCAUCAUUCCAACCUCACCAAACUGCUCCUGAGGUGACAGUGACCCAGGAGUCUGUCAGUCUAGCCCAGGCAAUCGCCAGCUCAUUAAGCAUGAACCGCUUGCCGGUCCCUGAACCAACCACGUUCCGUGGUGACCCUCUACAGUUUACAGAUUGGAAGAUGUCAUUCAUAGCUCUUAUUGACAGGAAACCCCUCCCACCAAGUGAGAAGAUGUUUUAUCUAAAAAAUUAUCUUGCUGGAGAGGCGCGUAAAGCAGUAGAAGGUUUCUUUUAUCGAGAUUCAGAAAGUGCAUACAAUGGAGCAUGGAAAGUCUUACAAGACAGAUAUGGGAACCCGUUCAUCAUACAAAAAGCUUUCCGAGAUAAGCUCAUGAGAUGGCCAAAGAUCAACACAAAUGAUCCACUAGCGCUACAAGAGUUUGCUGACUUCCUCCAAGGCUGCACUGAGGCAAUGCCUCACGUCAAAGGACUAGCUAUCCUUAACGAUUGUGAGGAAAACCACAAGUUGCUCAGAAAACUACCAGAAUGGAUCGUGCGCAAGUGGAGUCGAGUUGUUGUGGAGGAACUUGACACAUCCGGAAGCUAUCCAGAUCUUGCAUGCUUCACAAAUUUCCUGAGCAAAGAGGCACGGAUAGCCUGCAACCCUAUUGCUUCUCCAUUGUUGAUGAACUUCAGGGCCACAAAUGAAAGAUCACCAAAGAGAGCCAAAGCUCUCAACACAAAUACACAAACAAAGAGUUUCGCUCAGGAGAAACAAGAAACAAAUGGCAGUAAACCAAAAUCACCUUGCUUCAUGUGUAAAAGUGAAGAUCAUAACAUCACCAAGUGUCCCACCUUCGCAGCAAAGAGUAUUGAAGAUAAAAAGGCAUUCAUCUGUGAAAAUCGGCUCUGCUUUGGGUGCUUGAGGAAGGGUCACAUGACAAAAGAUUGUAAGAGACGACACACAUGCAACAUAUGCAACCGUCGUCACCCAUCCUGCUUGCACGAUGACAGGAAACAAAGACCUGUGGAAGCAACAGCGAAUAGUUCCACUUCCACAGAAAACCAUGCAAGCUUGGAAACUCACAAUGUCGUAUCCCAUGCAUCAACGCAACGUUCUUCAGCUACCUCAAGUAUCGUCCCAGUCCUUGUGUCUUCAAUACAAGAGCCACACAGAGAAGUACUUACGUACGCAAUACUGGACACACAGAGUGACUCAACGUUUGUCUUAGAAGAUGUACUUGACAAACUGAAUGUUGAUGCCCAACCAGUAAAAUUAAAAUUGAGUACUAUGACGGCUAUUGACACAAUCAUAUCUAGCAAGAACGUCCGUGGUCUACAAGUUCGAGGACUGCACUCUAAGGACCACAUUCAAUUACAGCAGGCCUACAGCCGUGAUUUUAUACCAGUGGACAAGUCUUACGUUCCAACAAAUGAAACAGCCUUACUCUGGCCUCAUCUCAGACAUUUGGCAGAUAAGCUACCACCCCUUCUAGACUGUGAUGUAGGGCUCCUGAUAGGAUAUGACUGUCCAGCAGCAUUAACUCCUCUUGAGGUUAUCAUUGGAGACAAAGAUCAACCGUUUGCACAGAGAUCAAUACUAGGAUGGAGUAUCAUAGGCUCAUCAAAUCCUCACCUAGACAGACAAGGAAGUCAGAGCUUUGUGCAUCGGCUCACGGUAAAAGAACUGCCAAUUCCAUCGACAACAGAUGUUCUAAAAGCCCUAGAAUCAGACUUCACCGAGAGAACAUAUGAAGAUAAAUAUGUGUCCCAGAACGAUGUUCAUUUCAUACAGUUCCUCAGUGACAACAUCACGCAGAAGAAAGAUGGACAUUAUGAGAUGCCCCUCCCUUUCAAGGGCAACAGUCCACCCAACCUACCAAACAACAAGAGGCUAGCCACAGUUCGUCUACAGUGUCUUAAGAAGAAGUUAAAGACCAAUAAAAAAUAUUAUGAUCAAUACAAAACAUUCAUGGAAGAAACAAUUAGCAAGGGUGAUGCAGAGCCUGCCCCUACAACAUUUGCAGGAGAGACUGAGUGGUACCUUCCGCAUCAUGGCAUUUAUCACCCCAGAAAACCAGACAAGCUGAGAGUUGUAUUCGACUGUUCAGCCAAAUUCCAUGGUGUUUCUCUAAAUGACACUUUACUGACUGGGCCUGAUCUUAUCAAUCCUCUGGUAGGAGUUCUCUGCCGCUUCAGGAAGGAGGCUGUAGCGAUCAUCUGUGAUAUCGAAAGAAUGUUUUAUCAGUUCUCUGUCACUCCUGAAUCCCGGAAUUAUCUGAAAUUCCUCUGGUGGGGAGGUGGAGAUUUGGAGAAGGAACCACAGGAAUACAGGAUGGCAGUUCAUCUCUUUGGAGCUGCCUCGUCUCCAGGAUGUGCCAACUUUGGCUUGAAACAUCUGGCACGCCAACACAAAGCUACCUAUCCACUAGCAUCAACAUUCAUAGAGAAAAACUUUUAUGUUGAUGACGGGCUAGUCAGUGUUCCAUCGGUCGAGGAAGCCAAGAAACUGAUCACUGAGUCACAGGAGUUGUGCAAAAGAGGAGGCCUACGCCUUCAUAAAUUCAACUCUAAUGAGGAAGCAGCCCUCGCCUGCUUAGAUCCUUCAGAAAGAGCAGCAACCAUUGAACCUCUAGGACUGGAUCCAACUCCAUCAGAGCGUGCACUCGGCAUUCAAUGGUCGAUUAAAACUGACACUUUUAGUUUUAACAGCAGCUUGAAAGAUCAGCCUUCCACCCGGCGUGGUUGCCUUUCUGUCAUUGCCUCUCUUUAUGAUCCACUUGGAUUCAUUGCUCCAUUCAGCCUAACUGGAAAGCGUAUACUUCAAGAGCUGUGUCACAGAGGCAUCGGAUGGGAUGAUCCACUACCAGAAGAUAUGAGACCACGGUGGGAGGAGUGGAUAAAUGGGCUUCAGAGGUUGAAAGAGGUUUCAAUUCCGAGAUGUUACCACCCAUAUGACUUCCAUAACAUUGUCAGAGUAGAGUUGCACCAUUUUUCGGAUGCCAGCUGCGUGGGAUAUGGUGCAUGUUCUUACCUCAGGUUCAAAAAUGACAAGGAUAAAGUCCAUUGCAGUCUCGUGCUGGCGAAAGCAAGGGUUGCACCCUCAAAGGUCACAAGUAUCCCGAGACUAGAACUUGCAGCAGCUGUGGUUUCUACGAAAGUCAGUGUCAUGUUAAAAGGUGAACUUGACAUAAAGAUUGAUGAAGAGGUUUUCUGGACCGAUUCAAAGGUGGUGCUUGGGUAUAUUAACAAUGAUGCCCGUAGGUUCCACAUAUUUGUUGCGAACCGUGUUCAGAUGAUAAGGGAUAACAGUGAUCCCAGUCAGUGGCACUAUGUGGACACUGCAGAAAACCCGGCAGAUCAUGCUUCCCGAGGUCUUAGUGCUUCAGACCUUCAUUCAACAAACUGGCUUCGAGGACCGAAGUUUCUCUGGGAGAGUAAUUUACUUCUAUCACCCAGCGCUCCAUCAGAAUUACUUGUUGGUGAUCCUGAAGUCAAGACAAUUCAGGUGUUUGCAACAGAAGUCAAAAACUACAAUGACAUCCUCAGCCGUCUGUGUCAGUUUUCCUCCUGGACAAAAAUUCUUAAGGUGGUGGCAAGAAUCAAGAGGCUGGGGUCUAAACAGAGACAACACAGUGAGUAUGUGACUGUUAAGGAGAUUGAGAAGGCUGCAGAUGAAGUGAUUAAGAUCGUACAGCAGCAAGCUUUCCCCCAAGAGAUAAAGAUGCUUCAGGGUAAAAAGGACCUUCCAAACUCAAGCUCUCUUUUCCGUCUCGACCCUAUCUGGUCUGAAGGACUCCUCUGUGUUGGUGGCAGAUUGAACCAGUCAUCGCUCUGUCAUAAAGUCAAGCACCCAGUCAUCCUACCGAAUAGCAGCCACAUCACUAAGCUAAUUGUGUCUCAUUUCCACGCUAAGACAUGCCAUCAGGGUCGAGGCCAGACUCUAAUGGAGCUUCGGGCCAAUGGAUUCUGGGUAAUUGGUGGGAGCAAGUUGGUUGCUAAGGUGAUACACACUUGUGUGUUUUGCAGGAAACUGCGAAGGCCAACAGAAAGACAACGAAUGGCUGAACUUCCCACAGAACGCGUUGAAGCCUCAGCACCUUUCACAUACUGCGGCAUGGACUGUUUCGGUCCUUUCAUUGUAAAGAAAGCCCGCAAAGAAUACAAAAGAUACGGCGUGAUUUUCACAUGUAUGUACUGUAGAGCUGUUCAUAUUGAAAUGCUCGAAGAUUUGUCAACAGACUCAUUCAUCAACUCAUUGAGAUGCUUCAUCAGCCUGAGAGGAGCUGUUCAACAACUUCGCUGUGACCAAGGCUCUAAUUUUGUUGGCGCAAGGAAUGAGCUCAAGGAAGCACUUAAACAAUGUGACAUUAAGCUUCUGGAAAUCUUCCUGACAGAGAAGCAGUGCGAAUUUGUCUUCAAUGCUCCCUCUGACAGUCCUGCAGGUGGUGUCUGGGAACGCCAGAUCAGAACUGUUAGAAAUGUGCUGAAUGCCGCCUUUGCACAGUGCCCAGGUCGACUGGACGACGCUUCCCUCAGAACACUGCUAUAUGAGACCAUGGCUAUCGUUAACAGCCGCCCAUUAACAGUGGAUGGAAUCAAUGAUCCACAGGCACUGGAGCCUAUAACACCGAAUCAUCUCAUUAUGAUGAAAUCUAAAGUUGCUCUUCCUCCUCCUGGAGUAUUUGUCAAGGAGGACCUGUAUGCAUCAAAAAGGUGGAGAAGAGUUCAGUAUCUCAUCGAACAGUUUUGGAGCCGCUGGAAAAAGGAGUAUCUGCUGAACAUAUCCUUGAGACAGAAAUGGCACUCACCUCAGCGCAACCUCAAAGUGGAUGACAUUGUCAUUAUUAAAGACGACAACCUCCCAAGAAAUCAGUGGCAACUUGGACGGGUGAUUGAAACUGUUCAAAGUAGUGAUGGCUUGGUUCGUCGAGUUAAAGUGCAAGUUGGUGAGCGGAAACCUCAUAAAAAACAAGAUCCACCCUCCAAGCCCUCAGUUAUUGAGAGACCAAUCAAAAAAUUGGUGCUCCUCCUAGAGAACUGAUUAAAAGAAAGCGAUUUACAACACUGCACAAACUGCUUUAUUAUGCAUGAUGCCAUAUAGUUACGCCUCUGAUAGCUUAACUUCAGGCUAUUAAUUUCUUAGCAAGAAAUCCUGCACAAUUCACUUACUCUUUGUAUAUUUGUUCAUUCAUUGUACCAGGAUUUGGUGGGAGUGUAAAUGUCUUUAUAAAUCGCAUUAAUAUCCUACACCGUAUAUAUACAACAUAUAUAACAUUUUAUAUUAAUAUUUUAAGGCAUUAUAUGUUUAACAGUGUCACUUUGUCUGUUCUGCUUUUAUUUUGAAAAAGCGCUGUUUUCUUCUUCGGAUGGUUUUUUUUUUGUGACGCUAAAUUUCCGCUAUUCUCUCGUCACAAUGUGGUGUUCGCAUAUCGUCGGAAGAACGAGCUCCGAACUGUGAGGGUGUGUCAAGCUAGAGCACAUGGUAGCUGAUGGCAGAAACUCUUUGAUUAGCGCCCUUGGAAAAGCGGAAUGAGUUUUCACGGUGUCCAGGUGCAUGGUGCUCAUUGAGAGGAAGAAAUAAAUUGACACCCGUUUGAAACUCUCUGCGUCUUGAUCAAUGUAUAUCCGAGGGGCCGCUACAG